GCGGCCAUGGCGGAAUUGGUAGACGCGCUAGCUUGAGGUGCUAGUCUUUUAACCGAGGUGGAGGUUCGAGUCCUCUUGGCCGCACCA
rnacentral:tRNA from 1 species